GUGGAUAAUCUGCAAUCCUGCAUAAUGGUAUAAGAAAGGGCACUGACGAUGGGAUCUGGAGCAUCGUCUUGUUUGCACAUCAUCCAUGGAACGCCGGUCUGAAGGUUUACAGCCAUUGCUGCUGCCCAGCGAACAUAAGAGGAUUGAAGGAAACAAGAAAUUAUAUUUCUAUUCUGAAUAAUCCCGCUGCAGCAAGAUUCUGUAUGUUAUAUGGUUGACCAUAUCAUUGUUCUAGGCUUCAAAGGCACUGUGUUGGGUAGUUGAUACCUUGUAGGGUUCAUUGUCGCAUCUGAAGGUAAUGUUUGGGACACCGCGCAACCAAAAUGGCAAGCCUCUGCAUGAAUAAAAGAUCUAGUAAAAGCUUUACAUGUUGAGGACACCACAGAAAUGAAACUCUUCUCUGAAAUUCAUGUUGGAAAUGCACUUCAUCAUCUCAUUACCCGUAUUUCCAUUCUGCCUCGAUGAAUGGGCCGACCCGGAGGCUCACAUAGAGGCCUUGAGCAUGGAUUUCUCUGAUGAACUUCACAAGAUCGUAUCUUCCUUCGAAGUUGUACUGGGAGCACCCACCUGACCUUGGAUAGGCUCAUGGACAUUCCAGAAGACGUAUGUCUGUAUGACAUCCAGGCCACCUUCCCUGGCGCUCUCUAUGAGUCUUGGCCACAUCUGCUAAUUGGAUUGUACAUUAGUUUGAAGGAAAGGAACUGAGGUUUUCUGCUUCAUACAGUAUGAUUCGUGGCGCAUGCUUGAUUGCUUGAUUGCUUACUGUAUGUAUGUAUGUAUGUAUUGACUGAACUAAUUUGAUUGCUGGGUGAAACUUUAACUGAACUAAUCUGUUUAUCUAGUGAGUUAGAUUUUCUGCUGUAGUGUACUAGCAAUCAAGAAUUUACUUUAAUUAAAAAAUGCUUGAAAUGA